rnacentral:rRNA from 1 species
AGGGCGCACGGUGGAUGCCUUGGCACUAGGAGCCGACGAAGGACGUGACAAACGACGAUAUACCUUGGGUAGCUGUAAGUAAGCGAUGAUCCAGGGAUUUCCGAAUGGGGGAACCCAACAGGUAAUACCUGUUACCCACAUCUGUUAAGGAUGUGAGGAGGAAGACGCAGUGAACUGAAACAUCUAAGUAGCUGCAGGAAGAGAAAGCAAAAGCGAUUGCCUUAGUAGCGGCGAGCGAAACGGCAGAAGGGCAAACCGAAGAGUUUACUCUUCGGGGUUGUAGGACUGCAAUGUGGACUCAAAGAUUAUAGAAGAAUGAUUUGGGAAGAUCAGCCAAAGAGAGUAAUAGCCUCGUAUUUAAAAUAGUCUUUGUACCUAGCAGUAUCCUGAGUACGGCGGGACACGUGAAAUCCCGUCGGAAUCUGGGAGGACCAUCUCCCAACCCUAAAUACUCCCUAGUGACCGAUAGUGAACCAGUACCGUGAGGGAAAGGUGAAAAGCACCCCGGGAGGGGAGUGAAAUAGAACCUGAAACCGUGUGCCUACAACAAGUUCGAGCCCGUUAAUGGGUGAGAGCGUGCCUUUUGUAGAAUGAACCGGCGAGUUACGUUAUGAUGCGAGGUUAAGUUGAAGAGACGGAGCCGUAGGGAAACCGAGUCUGAACAGGGCGAAUUAGUAUCAUGACGUAGACCCGAAACCAUGUGACCUACCCAUGAGCAGGUUGAAGGUGCGGUAAGACGCACUGGAGGACCGAACCAGGGCACGUUGAAAAGUGCUUGGAUGACUUGUGGGUAGCGGAGAAAUUCCAAACGAACUUGGAGAUAGCUGGUUCUCUCCGAAAUAGCUUUAGGGCUAGCGUCGACAUUAGAGAUUCUUGGAGGUAGAGCACUGUUUGGGUGAGGGGUCCAUCCCGGAUUACCAAUCUCAGAUAAACUCCGAAUGCCAAUGAAUUAUGGUCGGCAGUCAGACUGCGAGUGCUAAGAUCCGUAGUCGAAAGGGAACAGCCCAGACCACCAGCUAAGGUCCCAAAAUAAUUGUUAAGUGGAAAAGGAUGUGGGGUUGCACAGACAACUAGGAUGUUAGCUUAGAAGCAGCUAUUCAUUCAAAGAGUGCGUAAUAGCUCACUAGUCGAGUGACCCUGCGCCGAAAAUGUACCGGGGCUAAAACAAUUUACCGAAGCUGUGGAUACCUUUAUAGGUAUGGUAGGAGAGCGUUCUAUGUGUGAUGAAGGUAUACCGUGAGGAGUGCUGGAACGCAUAGAAGUGAGAAUGCCGGUAUGAGUAGCGAAAGACAGGUGAGAAUCCUGUCCACCGUAAGACUAAGGUUUCCAGGGGAAGGCUCGUCCGCCCUGGGUUAGUCGGGACCUAAGGAGAGACCGAAAGGUGUAUCCGAUGGACAACAGGUUGAUAUUCCUGUACUAGAGUAUGUAGUGAUGGAGGGACGCAGUAGGCUAACUAAAGCAGACGAUUGGAAGAGUCUGUCUAAGCAGUGAGGUGUGAAUUGAGUCAAAUGCUUAAUUCUAUAACAUUGAGCUGUGAUGGGGAGCGAAGUUUAGUAGCGAAGUUAGUGACGUCACACUGCCAAGAAAAGCUUCUAGCGUUUAAACAUACUCUACCCGUACCGCAAACCGACACAGGUAGUCGAGGCGAGUAGCCUCAGGUGAGCGAGAGAACUCUCGUUAAGGAACUCGGCAAAAUGACCCCGUAACUUCGGGAGAAGGGGUGCUGACUUUAGGUCAGCCGCAGUGAAUAGGCCCAAGCAACUGUUUAUCAAAAACACAGCUCUCUGCUAAAUCGUAAGAUGAUGUAUAGGGGGUGACGCCUGCCCGGUGCUGGAAGGUUAAGAGGAGUGCUUAGCGUAAGCGAAGGUAUGAAUUGAAGCCCCAGUAAACGGCGGCCGUAACUAUAACGGUCCUAAGGUAGCGAAAUUCCUUGUCGGGUAAGUUCCGACCCGCACGAAAGGCGUAAUGAUUUGGGCACUGUCUCAACGAGAGACUCGGUGAAAUUUUAGUACCUGUGAAGAUGCAGGUUACCCGCGACAGGACGGAAAGACCCCAUGGAGCUUUACUGCAGUUUGAUAUUGAGUGUCUGUACCACAUGUACAGGAUAGGUAGGAGUCUAAGAGAUCGGGACGCCAGUUUCGAAGGAGACGCUGUUGGGAUACUACCCUUGUGUUAUGGCCACUCUAACCCAGAUAGGUGAUCCCUAUCGGAGACAGUGUCUGACGGGCAGUUUGACUGGGGCGGUCGCCUCCUAAAAGGUAACGGAGGCGCCCAAAGGUUCCCUCAGAAUGGUUGGAAAUCAUUCGCAGAGUGUAAAGGUAUAAGGGAGCUUGACUGCGAGAGCUACAACUCGAGCAGGGACGAAAGUCGGGCUUAGUGAUCCGGUGGUUCCGUAUGGAAGGGCCAUCGCUCAACGGAUAAAAGCUACCCUGGGGAUAACAGGCUUAUCUCCCCCAAGAGUUCACAUCGACGGGGAGGUUUGGCACCUCGAUGUCGGCUCGUCGCAUCCUGGGGCUGUAGUCG